UAGGGAAUAUUGGGCAAUGGACGGAAGUCUGACCCAGCCAUGCCGCGUGCAGGAAGAAGGCGCUCAGCGUUGUAAACUGCUUUUAUAGGGGAAGAACGGCAGUCCUGCGGGGGUGUGUGACGGUACUGGAGGAAUAAGCACCGGCUAACUCCGUGCCAGCAGCCGCGGUAAUACGGAGGGGGCGAGCGUUGUCCGGAUUUAUUGGGUUUAAAGGGUGCGUAGGUGGUUGAGUAAGUCUGGUUUGAAAGUCAGUCGCUUAACGACUGAGGUUGGCUGGAUACUGCUGGACUUGAGUGCCCGGGAGGUAGGUGGAACGGGUUGUGUAGCGGUGAAAUGCAUAGAUAUUUGCCAGAACCCCAAUUGCGAAGGCAGCCUACUGCGUGGUGAUUGACACUGAGGCACGAGAGCAUGGGGAGCAAACA
rnacentral:rRNA from 1 species